CCUACGGGAGGCUGCAGUGAGGAAUAUUGGUCAAUGGGCGCAAGCCUGAACCAGCCAAGUCGCGUGAGGGAAGAAGGCUCUAUGGUUUGUAAACUUCUUUUGUAUGGGAGUAAAGUGAGGAACGUGUUCCUUUUUGUAUGUACCAUAUGAAUAAGCAUCGGCUAACUCCGUGCCAGCAGCCGCGGUAAUACGGAGGAUGCGAGCGUUAUCCGGAUUUAUUGGGUUUAAAGGGUGCGUAGGUGGUUAAUUAAGUCAGCGGUGAAAGUUUGUGGCUCAACCAGAAAACUGCAGUUGAAACUGGUUGACUUGAGUAUAGUUGAGGUAGGCGGAAUGCGUGGUGUAGCGGUGAAAUGCGUAGAGAUCACGCAGAAUACCGAUUGCGAAGGCAGCUUACUAAACAAUAACUGACGCUGAGGUACGAAAGCGUGGGGAUCAAACAGGAUUAGAUACCCGAGUAGUC
rnacentral:rRNA from 1 species